UACGAAGGGGGCUAGCGUUGUUCGGAUUUACUGGGCGUAAAGCGCACGUAGGCGGAUCGAUCAGUCAGGGGUGAAAUCCCAGAGCUCAACUCUGGAACUGCCUUUGAUACUGUCGAUCUGGAGUAUGGAAGAGGUGAGUGGAAUUCCGAGUGUAGAGGUGAAAUUCGUAGAUAUUCGGAGGAACACCAGGGGCGAAGGCGGCUCACUGGUCCAUUACUGACGCUGAGGUGCGAAAGCGUGGGGAGCAAACAGG
rnacentral:rRNA from 1 species